rfam:Lupinus angustifolius cultivar Tanjil chromosome LG05, whole genome shotgun sequence.
GCACCAAUGGUCUAAUGGUAGAAUAGUACUCUGCCAUGGUAUAGAAGUGGGUUCGAUUCCCAACUGGUGCA